UCCAAUAGUCGCGUUUGUCCUUCCCUUCUCAUCCUCAGUUCUUUUUGUUUCUCUGUCCUUUGUCCCCUGCUUCUCUCUGUAACGAAAUGACGAUCUUCAACCAAUCUGCUCUUCAAACCCUUCUCUCUCAAUCUCUCUGUUAAAUCUUAUUCAAGAUAUGAAUUAUUUGUUGAACUUCAAAGGACAUUCAGAUUAUUAUUUUUUCACGAAACCAAAGGUGGGUGUAAGAGUAAUUUCACCUUACAAGGUUCAAGUAGGUUUGCUGCAAGAAAAAUUAGAGAAGAAAACAUAAGGAUAACUUUUGCUCUAUUGAUGUGUUGCUGGAUUUCAAGGCCAGUGGUGAGGAAGACAUCAUAAUAAUCUCAACUGGUCGGAGGAAUUUAAAUGGAUCAGUUGGAUUCCUUUCAAGUUGUCAGAGAACAAAUGUUGCUCUUACCAGAGCAAGGUAAACACAGUUUUCCAACUCAUCUUAGUCGCUGGUGCCUUGCAGCCUGAACUCGGAACUCCUGAGACUCAGGCAUACAUCACAUAUCUAAGCUGGCUGGUGGCUUCCACAACGGUUGGUUCUACUGCAGCAUAUGGAGUGCAACACAUGAGGACAGAACCAUCUCUACUGUACGGAGUCGUUGAGGUGGGAAAUUCUCCACUUCACUCCACUCCACUGAUUAGUUUAUGGAUGGUUGCACUUGACGGAAACACUGUUCACUAUGCUGAGAAGGUCAUCCCGUUAACGUAUCAGCCUGUCUUCUUUGCAUCGCGCUUGAAAUUUGACACUAGAUUUUUUGUGUGUUUAAUUUUUUGAUUGUACUGUUUUUAGCUGUGCUAACUCCUUUUGUUUCGUAACAUUCUGUUUGCAGUAAUGGGGAUAUACAACUACCAGUCAAUUCCUCCAUAAUGUUAACUCAAUGAACCGGGCCUUCAUGGCCUCAUUUCACAUCUCGUUUUUUUCGGGUAUUCUUCAUAAUCCCGCGUUAUUUAUGUACAUUUCUGUUCUUUAGUUAAUUAUAAUUUGGGUGUAAGUUAUUUUUUUUAUUAGUUCGAACGUUAAUCUCACAAGCUUAUAUGCACUAUCAGUUUUAUAAUUGUGUUUAAUUUGGUUUUAGAGUUGAAAAAGUAAGAUCACUCCUCGGUUCCGCAUCGAUGUUCCAAGGCCUCCAACUAAGUCUUGUAGCAGUACAUGAUUUGUGUAAGAAGAGUGAAACUUUUAAAAGAGCUUAAAUCAUUAAAGUGAAGAAACUAUGCCUCUAUUGUAUGUCUUCUUUAAAUAUUAGUGUCGGUCUUUAGGUGCCAACUGCUUCUCCCUCCAUUUCUUAUAAAAGGCAACUACAUAUUUUGAGGUUGAACUUUGACCAUCUAUACAAAAACAAUAUUUUGAAAGUACUUUUAAAAAUUGAUGUAAUGUAAUUUUUAUAAUACACAUCAAGAGGUAUUGGCAGUCGAAAUAAAAUAUUGAAAACUAGACGUGCCUUAUAAAAAGAAAUGGAGGUCGGGGAUAUUGGUAGUUGUACAUGCCUGUAACCACCGAUGUAGAGUUUAGAAGCUAACUGAAUUUUUGGGCAUAUGAUCGUUUUACUUCUAACGAGCAAUUUUUUUUACUGGGAAAUGGGAAUACAUGGUACUGGUACUCUUAAACAAAUUGCACCAUAUAUGUAAUAUUGGAGUCGAAUAAAGUGUGUGGAUACCUGUAUGAUAUGGUACAAUUGAUAGUAAAGGAACUUCAACUUUGUACUGCACCCCAAAUCACUGUGUAACUGUGUUGUAUUCUGCAUUAUGUGUUAUGCUUUUAAAGGAAUACAAAAACUCACGGUGCUACAUGUUUUUAGCAAAGACUUUAACAUCUUGGUAAGGCUUAUCUCUAAAUUGCCAAGUGCAAUGCGCAUUUCGAUUUCUCUUCCUAAUUUAAUUAAAUUUUUUUCAUCCAUUAAAUUUCAUUGCAAUGCAUUAUAAAAGGUUUUGGUUUUCAUUUUUCCUAAAUCGAAUCUUGUGAAAUUAUUUCUUGGGUACGCAUUCAAAGAGCGCAUUGGCUCUGGCUCCCUACAGGUUUUGAUUAUAGUAUCCUACAGGAGUUGUAGUGCGCCAUGAGAUGCACAUUAAUCACUGAGCUUUACUGAGAUCAGAAAAGGUUGUACUCUAUCUUGAAUUAAUUGACUGCCCGAAACUUGUUCUCAAUCUUGAAACAUGGAUGACAUUAGAAAACUUAGAGAAAUCAAUUACAAACCUUGACCAUCUAAAGAAAUGUGUGACUUCUAGGAGGAGGGAGUAUAUGUUUGAACAAUGUAGUUAUAAAGACAGGAGGUAAAACUUGGCAGUUGGAUAUAUAUAGUUUAUAUUCAAGCUUGUAUCAUUUCAUUAUUUUCCCUAAAUCAAGAACCAAGUUCGGAAUAAGUCAGGGCGUUAUGACCUUAAACUGGUCGUCUAUAUAUAGUGUUGUAAAUAAUAGGGACUUAUUGUGCUUUCUAUGGUCACAUCUUACUAUCCACCUACAUCUUGAUUUCAGCAGCUCCUGUACAACUGCUAUACAAUAAGACAAGAUGGUUCGAGGACAUUUAUCAGACUCUUCAGGAACACAGAACAUUUCCUUUCAGUUUGUUUUCCGAGAAACGGAAGAGAAUUAGCAUUGAAGAUUAGUUAGAUAAUAGUUCGAUCAACAUGUUCAGGAGUUGUUAGAUGGAAAGCACUGGCCGGAUUUACGGGAGCACAAAAAUGACCAGAGAAUAUGCAAGCAUGGGCGGUAACAGGUCCACAAGCUCUACUUCCCUUUAGAUUCUUCAGGACUGGGCCAACGACUGAUCUCCCAUAGCCUUGAAAACUUUGUGUUUUCUUCUGCUAGGAUUAAGAAUGAGGAGGAAAGUAAUUAAUGGGAAUUGUAGCCUUUAUGAAAGGCGUAUGGAGAUGCUGCAGCAAAGUCAUUUGUGUGUAUCCUCUAAAGUGAAAAGAGGUUAAUCAUCAAGUGAAAAGACUACAGUUUGGAGUAUUCUUAUAUAUUGUGGUUUAAAAAAGCGAGAAGCUAAUAACUUAGAGAUUCAACUUCUUAA